AACUUUUAACAAUGGAUCACUUGGUUCCGGCAUCGAUGAAGAACGCAGCGAAAUGCGAUAACUAAUGUGAAUUGCAGAAUUCAGUGAAUCAUCGAGUCUUUGAACGCACAUUGCGCCCCCUGGUAUUCCGGGGGGCAUGCCUGUCCGAGCGUCAUUGCUGCCCUCAAGCACGGCUUGUGUGUUGGGCUCCGUCCCCCCGGGGACGGGCCCGAAAGGCAGCGGCGGCACCGAGUCCGGUCCUCGAGCGUAUGGGGCUUUGUCACCCGCUCUGUAGGCCCGGCCGGCGCCAGCCGACAACCCAUCAUCCUUUUCAGGUUGACCUCGGAUCAGGUAGGGAUACCCGCUGAACUUAAGCAUAUCAAUAAGCGGAGGCU
rnacentral:misc_RNA from 1 species